GUACACAACUCCACAUUACACAGAGAGGUACACAAGCACACACAUUACACAGAGAGGUACACAACUACACACAUUACACAGAGAGGUACACAACUACACACAUUACACAGAGAGUUACACAACCAGACACACACAUUACACAGAGAGGUACACAAGCACACACAUUACACAGAGAGGUACACAAGCACACACAUUACACAAAGAUGUACACAACUACACAUACACACAUUACACAAAGAGGUACACAACUACACAUACACAUUACACAGAGAGGUACACAACCAGACACACACAUUAGACAGGGAGGUACAUAACUACAGACACAUUACACAGAGACGUAAACAACUACACAGUUACACAACACUGCAGGUUGUUAUGCACAAAACAUUACACAAUGCACACUUUUACACCACACAAG
ensembl:lncRNA